AUGGUUUACUAACGGGAGAUGUUGUGAAUUGCAGCAGCAAUACUUGGAAUAUAAAGAAGAAGUGAAGCAAUUAUGAUACCUAUUAUUUUUUAUAAUGACAGAAGGAACAUGGAAGAAAAAGACAUUUUUUGCAGCAUGUGAAAACAAGGAAGUAGAAUGAAAAAAGGGCUGCUACUUUUCAUGCGCCCGAAACCAGCCACCUCAUCAUCAUAGCAUGUUGCAUUGGAGCUCUGCUGGAGUUUGCUGAUGACAGCAUGCUGAAGGGCUGAAGCUGGUAGCUCUGGCAGGAGUCCAGUGUCCACCAGCUCAAGAUCCGACGCCGCCGCGUCGCCGCCGUGCGGCACUCCGCGGAGACGGGGACGGCGGUCAUGAUUGAAGACACCGCAUUUCCCGCCUGGACGGUCGGAGACUGGUAAUCCCUCCGGUGAGCCGCACACCGUGGAGCUACUGCACCGCGCGUGUCCACCCGCAGCGCAGUGCCAGCAACGGUGCCGUGAGCGCGACAUCUGCGUGCAUAUGACGCAGUGCGACUGUCACGACUCGCGGCUCAGUGUUCUGUCAGUGUGACAGUGCGGCUCGCGUUCGUUUUAGCGAGGUGCUCUGUUGUAUAUAACCACCUUGAUGGAGAUCUAUGUGCUGCCGCUUGAGUUUCAUUGUACAGUCUUAUGCAUCAAACUAGCGUAAGUAAAUGGCUGUCAGAGGUCAAUUUGAAGCGCAAUUAGUACCCAUAACCCAGCUGGGUUGAGCGAGUCAUGUGACAAGUCCCGAUGAACGUACUGUUUCGAUGUCGUCAGUCGUAGACUUUUGUAAACCAUUCGUUUCGGAGCUCUGUGUUGUGUUGUUCGGGACCGCAGUUGGUUGAGCAGUUUGCUUUAUGCGUCGUACGCUGACAGAACGCUGGUCGUACACAAGUCAUGUGUUUCCUUUCGCCCCUAAUGGGUUACUGCGGUACCUAUGCAGUUGGAAUGUGUCUCGAGACACUAACUGGUUGCACUUGGUUGUGAAAAUGACACUAGCUGGUCGCACUUGGUUUCAAGCUGCGCUUGGAAAUCGUGCAAUUUUAUUUGCAUUUUGCAAUGCAAUUUUAUUGCCGUUACCGUAUUGGUAGAUAGUGUCAGACUCAGAAGUUGGCCAUUUGAUGCGUUGUCACUUGUCAGACGCUGUUGCCUUAGUACUGACAAAUUGAUGGGCCGCGUUUGUGUUCCUGUUAAGAAACGGAUCUCAAUAUAAGGUGAUUCAGA
rnacentral:lncRNA from 1 species